AGCUAGAGUUCCCUUUUGUGUCCCCAUAAGUUCCUCCUCUGGACACCCUUCUGCUUCCUCAAGGCGGUUCCUCUCAGAAACCCUGACCUCCCUCUGAAAUAGCGGAAGCAACCUUGGUGAGGGGUUCCAACAGAUAAACAGCCUGGGGCUCCAACUCAUCCAAGCCACACAGUGGGAAAAGAGCAUGCGAGCCGUGAACCCAAGAGAGCCCUGAGUAGCCCCACCACACCAGUGAGAGACUUCAGCAUGAAGAGGUGAAGCAGCUAGCUCAUGAUCCCGGCAGCAUGCACCCUGUGGGGCUCUUUGGAUGGCUUUGUCACUGGAAGAAACAAGCACCACCCAGGAAGCUAAUUGCUGGAGGUCCCGAGGAGUAGCUGUCAACCUACUGAGUCUUCUACCUUGGGAUUUCUCUUCUGACCAUGAUGGACAGCCCCAGAACUGUUCUGUGCUGAUGGCGCCACCUGGUGGCUGGCGUGGGAAUGCCCUCAAAGGAGACUCCCGUGUCCCUUGGCGCUCUAAGGAACCUGGGCCAUUCAGAGGCCAACACCUUGCCAAGUUAGACCCAGACAUGAAUGGCAGCAGGGUGGAGUAGUAGAAUAGAGGUCAGGGUCAGGCAGUACACAAUGUGCCAGGAAGACUGUGGAACCGAGAGCAGGGCCCCAGCGUGCCUCUUGGAGGCACUUCAGCCCUUCCUGGGGGCAGGAGAACAAUUCACUUCUUCCAGACAGCUGCUUCUGCUGGAAGCACUUUCUAGUCUUUUCUAGAGCCUCCUUCCCAGCUGCUUACUGGCCGCCAGGCAAACCCCUCCCAUCUUCUGCAGGCACAACUGGGGACUUUCCAGGGGCAGUCUCAGCCAAUUAAGGAAACAAUUAGCCUCCCCUGAGGCAAAUUCAUGCUUUGUCACCCACAGCACUCUGGUUCUGUGGGACUUGUGGGCACAAGAUGUGUGUGUGUGUGUGUGUGUGUGUGUGUGUGUGUGUGUGUGUGUGUAUCCCACCUUGAAGCUGUUUGGUGAAAGAUUUAAAGAGACAGAGGUGAAAUCACUUGACAAAAAUAAGUCAUAACAGAGACAAGUGUUAGCUGGCUGCACACCUGUGAGCCCAGUACUUGAGAGGUGGAGACAGGAGGAUCAAGAGUUCAAGGCCUGUGGU